GAAGGGGAUUCUGCCAUCCUCCUUGCAACCCCACACAACACUGUGACCUAUGCCAGCUGCAGCAUACUUCAAUUGAAGUGAAAAUUAAGAGUAUUUAUCAUUCUCUGGGACAAACUGAGGAGUGCACCACCAAAUACUGAUUAGAUUUACUGUGGCCAUAUUGGGGACAGAUACAUAUCACAAGGAUUUCUUUCCUGGAGGCAUUAGUCCGUGAUAACAGACAUUAUGUACCCGGAAGCUUGCCAGCUGGCAGAAAUGGUGGCUAACCAGCCUGCUCGACCAUUAGCAAGAAAAGUCUGCUCCCAAGAAUAUAAAUGCGUGUUUUGAAGGAUUACCCACUGUCACAGGGUUAUAUUACCUUCUUAAAAGAGAAACAAACAAUGAUCUUGUAUCUCUGCCUGCAAGGAAGAAAGAGGCAAGAUAGUGUAAGGCUCAGGAGCCUGGACUUUGCAGCCAGACUGCCUGGGUUUGGAUGGCAAGGCUGCUGCUGAGCUGCCACCUGACUCCUGGAUUGUGUCCUCAUAUGUUAACUAAGGAUACUAAUAGGACCUGGCAUGUAGAGUUGUGC